rnacentral:rRNA from 1 species
GAUGAACGCUAGCGGCAGGCCUAACACAUGCAAGUCGAGGGAGAAGCCCUUUCGGGGGCAGAAACCGGCGCACGGGUGCGUAACGCGUAUGCAACCUACCUUUCACAGGGGGAUAGCCCGAAGAAAUUUGGAUUAAUACCCCAUAAUAUUAUUGGAUGGCAUCAUUUGAUAAUUAAAACUGCGGUGGUGAAAGAUGGGCAUGCGUCCUAUUAGCUAGUUGGAGUGGUAACGGCACCCCAAGGCUACGAUAGGUAGGGGUCCUGAGAGGGAGAUCCCCCACACUGGUACUGAGACAGGGACCAGACUCCUACGAGAGGCAGCAGUGAGGAAUAUUGGUCAAUGGUCGGAAGACUGAACCAGCCAUGCCGCGUGCAGGAAGAAUGCCUUAUGGGUUGUAAACUGCUUUUAUAUGGGAAGAAUAAGGCGUACGUGUACGUUGAUGACGGUACCAUAUGAAUAAGCAUCGGCUAACUCCGUG